GAUGGGGUUUCACCAUGUUGGCCAGGCUAAAAUCUCACAAGGUUUUAAGAAAGUUUAUGAAUCUGUGUUGGGCCACAGUCCAAGCCGUCCUGAGCUGUACACAGCCUGCAGGUCGCACCACGGGUUAGACAAGUUUGCUCUAAGGCACCAAGAGCCCCAGGCUGAAAAGCACCCCAGAGCUGCAGCUUGUAGAACCCAGGGCAGCAGGUUCUCCAACCUUCUGACAUCAUUAGAGCACAGCACACAAGUUAUCAGCCACUAGAUUUUUUUCCCCCUUUCCGAAACUGUAACCCUUCAUUCUAGGCCAUUCCCCAAAGCUGGACAGAGGACGUGGCUGGCUGGCUGGCUGGUUUCUGUAGUCAGAAUGACAGUUGGGUACUAGAUCCACUUUGUGAAGCAAUGUCUCAGCUCAAUAACUCUGCAGAGAAGCUGCCUGGUUCAGGAUGUGGCUUAAGUAAGAAGAUGGCCCUGGCAUUUUACGAGCACUGGUGGGCAAGGCUCUGAAAGUGGUAGAAGGGGAUUCUUUCCUGGAGUUCAGCUGCCCACUGUCCUGCUCCUCGGGGCAAAUGGUGUGAGAUCUGGAUUCAGCCUGUCUGUGCUGAUUGUAGCUCUGCCCCUUCCUGGCUGUGUGACCUCAGAUAAGUCACCCACUCUCUCUGCGCCAGUUUCCUCUUCUGGAAAAGGGGACAAUGCCCACCGCAUGGGGUUGUUUGUGUCCGUGGAGUACCUGGCAAUACCCAGCACACAUGAGGCGUCAGUACGUGGUGGUUCCUUCCCUCCUUAGCCCUACCUGUUCCCAGGUAAAAACCAAUACCGGCAGGGAACCUUCUCAAGGCUGGGGGCCUCCUGAGAGCAGUAAUGCUUUUCCUCCUUCAAAGACUUUGCCUUCUAGAAACCCAUUGCUCAUUCCUUUCUUCAAGUACCAAAACAAUCAAUUAAAGUGGCUAAAGACAGAUGGCACCCUCCCCUGCUCACGCAGCCACUCUGAUCCUCCACCCUGGUGACAGGCUAUGUGGCAGGAGGGUCUCUACCUUAUCUCAGGAUGAAGGCAUGGCUGGGGUCUGGCUGUCUCCUAGUGGCCGGAAGAAGCUGCCCGUCUCUACACAGGUCCAUGUUCCUGAGGAAAGCCAGUGUCACAGAGAAAUGAUGACCACUUUCUCAAACCUGGCUUCUGAUUUGCAUGUUGGCUGCCAAAGCUGAUCAGGAGUGGGCUCUGUGAAGAUGCCUGGUCUACCACAUGCCUCCAGCUGGCCACAUCCAAGACUCCCUGAGGCCUCUGGAAGGACAGCAUUUGCCCAGUGCCUCCCUCCAGGUCCUGCCACAUCCAAGAACCACCUGGACUAUUAUUUACUUAGUAUUUUAAAUCAAUGCACUUUUUAAACUCCAAUUUUUAAAAAAAGAUCAUUUAUGUCACUAUAUAACACCCAAAGCAGUAGAAUUUAUCAUACACAGAAGGCAAGGCUAAAAAUACAAUGAAAAUGGAACCAUGAAUUCUAGCUUGAUACCCUUGGCCUGUACAACUGAGCCUGGUGCCAGUUAAAAGGGCAAAGCAGUAGGUGCUCAGGGGGUGUUGGGCCCCUGAAAGCUGAUCUGAUCCGCUGCUGCGUAUUCACUGCCGCCCUGGGACGCCUCCAGCAGAGCACCUCACUGGGGGAAGCAUCAGGACGGUGUGGCCAGGAGCCCAAUGCUGCCACCUCAUAGAUGGGUAUCUGAGGUGAGUCAUCGAACCUCUACAAGCCUCAGUUUCCUCCCUUGUCUAAUGGAACCCUCCUUGGUGGCUUCACAGGGUGACGCUUGGGGCAAGUGAUGGAGAUGUGGGAGAGGCAGUUAUUUUUAACCACCCAGCCAAGCCCCUUGCCAGGAGGGACUCCCAGAAACGAAGCCUUACCCUGGAGGGAGUUCCCCGCCACUCCAAGCUUGAGGCCUGGGAUAGCAGCUGUGAGGGUACCAGCAUCAUCUGGGGACUCGCUGGGUACCAAUUAUCACUGCACUUGGGCUACCUCAAAGGCUGCCCACACAGACACACCCUCCUUGGUAACCAAUCCUCAGGAGGAGGGGCGCCCAAGGAAAGGGGGAAGGCUUCCUGGGCUAGAGCCCCUUAAGGGUCUGACACACCAUUGACACUGACCACGUCACUCAUUAAGCAAUUUUAAGCAAGUACCGACUAUACAUCAUUCACUAUCCCAAUCUAAUUUGCACAAGCCCUUAGGCAGGUGCUACCAUUAUCCCUGUUUUACAGAGAAGGAAACCGAAGCUUAGGAGAUGAAGUCUGAGGUGUUGGUGGAGCUGGGAUUUAAACCAAGAUGUGUCCAACUGCAAAGCAUGGUCUCGCUCAGUUGCCCGGGUUGGAGUGCAAUGGUGCAAUAACUCGCUACAGCCUUGAACUCCUGGACUCAAGCGAUCCUCCUGCCUGAGCCUUCCGAGGUACUGGGACUAUGGGCGUGUACCACCACACCUGGCUAUUUUUUUUUUUCUCCUUUUUGUAGAGACGGGAUCCCACUAUGUUGCCCAGGCUGGUCUUAAACUCAAGUGAUCCUUCCACCUCAGCCUCCAUAAAAUUUGAAUAAAGUUGUAGAUGAGAUUGGUCAUAGGAUUGUAUAUUGUAUUAAUACUAGAUUUGCUGAUUUUGACAACCCUGCUGUGGUUAUGCAAAUUUGUCCUUGUUCUAAGGAAAUAAACACUGAAUUAUUUAGGAGUAAAGGUGCAUAAUGAACCCAUUUUCAAAUGCUUAUGAAAAUUACACAUAUACACGUGUGUGCAUAUACACAGGCAUGCAUAUACAAACAGGGAAUGGCAUGCGCGUGUACAUGAGCAAAGUGCUAAUUGGUGCAAUUGGUGAAUUUGGGUGGGCAUUCCUUGUGCUCUUGCAACUUUUCUGCAUGUGUGAAACUAUUUUUUAAUUUUUUUAUUCAGGAAAAAGGAGCAAGAGUGUGUAUGACACAGGCUUGGCAGAAACUAUGAGCUGAUAUUCCAAAGUCGGGGAUGGGGAACCCUCACUGGGGGUACCCCUCAAACUCUCGGUGCUGUGGCCAGGGAACUGGGCUGGCAGUCUUCCUUGGCUUUGUUCCCUCGGCCGCCACUUCCCCAUCCUGUGCCUCCGUUGAUUUGUGAGACGGGGAAAAAGAUGUCUGCCACUUUUAUUGUGAUCUUAGGUUUCCCCAAAGCAGUCUAUGCUUUCAGAAGUUCUGGGAGGAAAGCUAGCAGAUACACCAGAAAUAUGAAUAUCCAAAUUGAGAGGAGCCCUCACUUUCUUAGUUCAGCAAAAUAGACACACGGGCUGUAAGUGGGGCAGACCCUGCCUGUUUCUUGGCUGAAAUCUCCAGUUUGUAUAAUGCAGGGCUAAGAGAGUGGGGCCCUUGACAUCUCACUGUUUUGAGACACAUACUGGGGUUUUCUCCUGUCUGAAGACACAGCUGGCACCAAUGUACCCUGUGGCCAAGGAUCUUCCGGGUGAGCCUCAUGUCAGGAGCAGAAUUGGAGAGGUGGCCAGCCUGGGGGCACACUUGUCUCCCUGUGUCACCAUUGUCUGUUUCUUGCUUAGAUGACAGCCAUAGCUUCCUGGCCUGGUUUCCUGCAUCCGCCCUGACCCCUGCCUGUGGGAUCUCCCAUAACUCAAAUCUGACUGUGUCCCUGCGGAAGGUUUGGGUUUCUGAGCUGGGCAGCUAUAUGUCCAGCACAGGGGUUCUGCUGAUAGCAUAGGCCACAAAUUAGCAAGGAGGGACCAGGUUAGGAAGGAGCAGCUGUGGUUCCUAGUCGAGAGGUAACUGAAGCCUAGUAAAUCCUGGAAUAAGAUAGACCAAUGAAUCUGAUAACCCUCAGCUCCAAAUCUGAGCUGUACCAGGACAAGCUGACUUUGGUGGCAAUGUUCUCCAGUCUCUGCAUUUUCAGCUCGCUGUGUGCCAAGAGAGGGCUGGCAGGUACCAGGGCCUUUCACUUUCAUUAGGAACUGGGACGAAUAAUCCAACUGAGCUGCCUCUGCACCAGAACUGCUGGGACGUGAGGACUCUCCCUGGCUCCCAGACCAGCCACUGCAGCCCUUUCUCCUGGGAAGGAGGGAGCUCCUGAUUCCCCAUUCCCUGCUCCUGGGCAACAAUUAACACUCUAGGAAAACCACACAGCCGGCUCUCCAGAGUUCUGGUGCUCUGGGGACCACAGGGCAGCAAGAAAGGUCUCCUGAGGGUCCUGGGGCUGCGAAGGCAGAGUGGGAAGUCCCCCCCAGCUAGGCUAGACUUGGACCUCCCUGGCACUCAGGCAGCCUAUUCUCUUUUGCUCAUGGAAUAUAAAUAUUCGUGCACGAGUAUAGGUGCAGGUUUCUACAUCCACAAGGGCAUGGGUAUAACACGCUUUCCAUUAUAUCUGACUAUGAAUACGAGUGGUUAAUAUUAAAACAUCUCUUACUAUA